rnacentral:tRNA from 1 species
GUGCCCAUAGCUCAGCUGGAUAGAGCACCGGAUUUCUAAUCCGGCGGUCGUUGGUUCGAAUCCAACUGGGCAUG